AGUAAUUAUGAAAAUCAUAUUUUUCAGACGGCCCUAUAAUUCCGCCAGGAUGUGAGGGAAAGACGCUCUGUGACAUUAAACCAGCUGAUUACCCACAGGAGGAGAUCGAUAAUUACUUCAUCAAUAACCCGGAUUUCCAUAAACGGCUAAAGAGGGAGUUUCUUGGUGAAAGGGUUAACCCGGCGGUGCUUGCAGAGCAAAGCAUUAAAAAGAACUGCGAAAUAGAAGUGGAGUUUUCUACGCCAUACCAGAAGAUCGCUGAUCCAAGCAAGCUUCCCAAAGUAAUCGUGCAAUCUCAGUAUUUCCAACAGAAAAUACAACAAGUUAAAUGCAAUCCAUCGAAAUAUACCAACAGCAGCGAGUAUCAGUGCUUUGGCGACUUAAUACAGAACAACAGGAGGACCCGGUGCAUACAAAAAACCCGCAAGCAUAAGUUAGUCAUAUAUGAUCGUGAAAAAGACAUAAUGAGAGAUGAUAUUGAAGGAAUAAUUAAUGUUGAUUGCAUCUGUGAUGCGACUGAUGCGUAGGUACUAGUAAGGUAAACGUACCUACUAGUGCUCGACAUACUAAUGACACCUUGCUGUCACCUCUAUUGACAAUGAUUUAAGUUCCAUUUAAGCACCGCGUCGAGCACCAGCACCUUAUGAUGAAAAGUGAAUAAAAGUCCAAAAGCUCCUAACUCUGGUCCAAAAUAAACUCUUCGUAAUAAAUAAUAUGUCAUUGUAUGUAUAUCGUCGCUUAUUACCCAUUAUAACAUAAGCUGUGCUUAGUUUGGGGCUAGGUCGACGUGUAAGAGUAUCCUUAAAUAUUUAUUUAUCUAAUAUUUAUCUUCGUUCAGGUAUGUUUAAGGAUUUAUAAUCGAAAUAAAAUUAUUUUAUUAUUUAUUUAUAAAUGGAACAAACACACCGACAAAGCGUCGAGCAGCAGCCAUAGAGUUGAAUAUUAUGCUCAGGAUACGCUAGUGUGGAGUGGCUUUAAUACUAUUAUGAUCAUUGUACC